rnacentral:rRNA from 1 species
GGGGAAUAUUGGACAAUGGGCGAAAGCCUGAUCCAGCAAUGCCGCGUGAGUGAAGAAGGCCUUAGGGUUGUAAAGCUCUUUUACCCGGGAAGAUAAUGACUGUACCGGGAGAAUAAGCCCCGGCUAACUCCGUGCCAGCAGCCGCGGUAAUACGGAGGGGGCUAGCGUUGUUCGGAAUUACUGGGCGUAAAGCGUACGUAGGCGGUUUUUCAAGUCAGAGGUGAAAGCCCGGGGCUCAACUCCGGAAUUGCCUUUGAAACUGGGAGACUUGAACACGGGAGAGGUGAGUGGAAUUCCGAGUGUAGAGGUGAAAUUCGUAGAUAUUCGGAGGAACACCAGUGGCGAAGGCGGCUCACUGGACCGUAGUUGACGCUGAGGUACGAAAGCGUGGGGAGCAAAC